CCCAUUCAAGCACUGGAGCAGAGAGCGUUGUCAUGGAAACGGAGCAACGACACGACACCUGACCGUCAACAGCACUUUUCUCAUGCGGCAGUUUUCACUAAUUUCAGUGCUCUGUGGUUUCAGAAGUGACAAAAUUACCCCUACAACAGAAGAGAAGAGCCAAGAUGAAGGGAGCUAAUCACAGAGCUGGAGGAAACACAGAUUUUGGAUCGUCCUCCACUCACUCUACCACUUUGUUUUUUCCUUGCCAGACUUCAUUUAAGGAUAAGAAAGAAGCCUGCUACAAGAGAGACAGCGGAAGGGAGCCUCAAAGACAUUUUUAUUAGGAUCUGCUAAUCAUGAGGGGGCAGACAAAAGAACCUGCAUUUUCCUUCAGCUUAAUAUCAGAGGUCACCACAGCGUAAGGAACUGGAUAUUACUUUGGCAUAUGUUUUACACAGCGGAUGGCCUUCCAGCUGCAACCCAGCACUGUGAAACACCCAUACACUCUCGUAUUCACAGACACUUCUACACUAUGUUCAAAUUCACCUAUAGCACAAGUGUUUGGACUGUGGUGGAAACCCACACCAAAACAGGGAGAACAUGCAAACUCCACACAGAAAUGCCAGCGGACCCAGCCGGGACUCAUACCAGCAACCUUUUUGCUGUGAGGUGACAGUCUGAGCCACUGUGCUGCCCCAGUGUAGUUGUUAAUAACCUCCAGAUGUUUUAGUUUGAUUUUGUAAUAUUAAUGCACGUUUACAUUUAUUGUAAUAUGUAUGUUAAUAUUUAUUCACAAUGUAAUUUAUUUUUAUGUUAUUUAUAAUAACGUUAAAUGUCAUAAGAAUGUUAUAAUUUAUUAUAAUAUUAUAAUAAAUAAUUAUAAUAAUGUUAAAAUAUAAAUACAAAUUUAUUUAUAAUGUUUUUAAUAGUUUAUUUUUAUAAUGAGAAGUCUCAAAGUCUGUCUUUAUUAUAGAAAACUCAUUGUUGAAUGGCUACCACUUUACAAUAAGGUUGUAUGUAUUAGUUAAUGUAUUUACUAACAUAAUAAACAAUACAUUUACUACAGUAUUUAUUCAUCUUUGCUAAUGUUGGUAAAUG
ensembl:processed_transcript